AAAUCAAUGAAGUAAAAAACAGAAACACCACACAGCAAAAUUACAGUUAUACCUUGUUUCAUUGCUUUUUGCUUUCUUGCACUUCACAGAUACUACAUUUUUUACGAGACUCUCCACCAGCAGAAAGAUUAUGACUCAUUGAAGGCUCAGAUGAUGGUUAGCAUUUUUUGGCCAUAAAACAUGUUUUAAUUAAGGAGUGAAAUCGUAGUGCUACGACCUCCAAGCAAGAAUUCUGAGAGCCUCUUACUGAGAAGUAGCAUCAGCAACAGUAACACACGAUGCUGAACUCAGUUCAUCAGUAUUUUACUUUGCUUUGCUAGCUAAUAAAAAGGAGGCCACAUGCCAAGUGAAAGGUACUUAUGAAUUAAAUACUUUUCGAUCUGCUAUUCCGAGAUUGCCAAACGCUCACAUGAGGAGGAAAACGCUAACAGCGACAAGUUAAAAAGGAAAUCAUUUCCUCAGGAAAUCCUACUUUUCCUAAUCCAGUCUUUGCACAGCUGCAGUACAAUCAAGGAGCACCAGGGGCAAGUUAUAGCAAGAAGGUUUCAAUUUUUUUUCAGUUUUAACCUCAUGACAUUGUAUCUAUUAGGGGAAAAAAAAGCAGACAAUUGGGCCUUUCAAAAAUCUGUAAGAAUUUUUUCUUUCAGAACAACAGGGAAUAGGGUAUUUAUCUGGAUAGAAAACUCUAAAUGAUGAAGGUCUUUCUUCCUCCCCAUCUCCCCUCCCUCAACCAACCCCAAGAACUGAUCUCAUGUAAUAUUUUUUCCCAAUGAUCUGGUAGAAAGUAACUUCAGAGAAAUAAGACUGUGCUCUUCUGGGUAGUAAGUUGUGUGGGUGUUGGGAUAAAUUGCAAGGGGAUAUUGUGAGCCUAUUGGAGAAGAAAAUGUCAUGGAAAGUUUUAGAGACAACACUUCAAAAGUAAGGAAGUUUAGGGGCUGGCCCAGGGGCGUAAUGGUUAAGUUCGUACACUCCACUUUAGUGGCCCUAGGUUCUCAGGUUCGGAUCCUGGGUGUGGACCUACACACUGCUUAUCAAGCUAUGCUUUGGUGGCAUCCCACAUACAAAAUACAGGAAGAUUGGCACAGAUGUUAGUUCAGGGACAAUCUUCUUCACCAAAAAAAAAAAAAAAGUGAGGAACUUAAUUUAAGCAAUAAAUGUAAAAUUAUGAUCUUCCAGUUACUUGUUUUAAAGUACAAAAUGAUUGGGAGUUCUGAGUACCCACUUCCUGAAGCUGAAAAGUUCAAGAAAAGCUUUGUAUCAUUGUAAUUGAACAGGCGAGAAGGAGUUUCACAGAGGCAGAGUAGACAAGAAUUUGGUUUGCAGAGCACCAGGAAAUCUCCUGUAUCCCAAACAGCUUCCUGUCUCCGAGACCCACACAUCCAGCCCCAUUAACAAGUAAAUUUUACUACUAGAGAUCCUUUUAAAUUAUUCUAAAUUCAAAUACUCCUUGGAAGUAUAUAAUUAUUUUUAUCUAUCAAAAUCUGGAGUUCAUCUCUAUUGACAAAGCAAGGAACAGCAUCCAAAGUGCAGAAAGAGGCAGACAGAUUUGCAGCAGGAAGUAAAAACACAGAACUAAAAAGGCCCUUGGAGAUGCUCUGGUUAACACAGGUAGCACAGCAAGUCAAGAGAAGGAACAAGAUGCCAUAGAGUCAGAAGUGUAUCUGUUAGGGGCCAAUCGGCAGAGAUUGAGGAGGCCCACAGUUACAUGAAGUCGUUCUGGCAUCAGUGGCUAAAGCCUGGAUUUGGAGAGUGGGAUAGAGAGAGAGAUUCUCAACCCUGGGGCAUCAGGGCAGGACCUUGUUAACAGAGCCAGGGUGUUAAUGAGAAGUGCAGACUAGAGAAAAACUAAAGGCGGAACUGACAAAGAAAGAAGAUUAGAAAGAGAAUUUCAAAUGAGGAAACAAUAAGGAAGAGGAGUUGUAAAGAAUUCUUUUGGCGUGUGGUCUUCUGUCCCAGCAGUUUACAAACCUUUUCAUCUCAGGAACCCUUUACCUGCCCAAAAUGUAUUGAGAGAUCUCAAAAGGCUAUUAUUUAUGGGAUGAUAUGUAUUAGUAUUUACCAUAAUCCGAAUUAAAAUUAAGAAACUUUUAUAACUUCUUAAUUUAUUUAAAAACAAUGAUAAGAAACCCAAUACAAGUACUGUAAAUAACUUUUUAUGAGAAAUUGCUAUAUUUUCCAAAACAAAAAUAUUUAGUGAGAAGACUGACAUUGAUUUACAUUUUGAAGAACUAUUUAGUGUCUGGCUUAAUAGAAUAUACCUGGAUUCACAUAGCUGUUCCUGAAUUCAGAAUUCAGUCUAUCAUAGCAUACUGUUAUUGAAUAAUAUGAAAAAACAUCUGUUCACACAAAGCUGUGUAUUUGGAAAAGGGGAGAAUAUCAUAAUAGCCUUUUCAUAUAACUGUGUAUACUCAUCUUUGACACUACACCAAAACUCAAGGGGUGGUAGUUACUUACAACUUAGUUGCAGAGCAGAAUCUGAAGCCAUUAUCAAUGAUGUUACAUUAAAAUCUAUCGGUCUAUCUUGUACUUAAAAUGGGUGUUUCACCCAUGCAUGACCAACCAUCCAUUGGUCAUCUGGAAAAUACUAGUUCAGCAAGUAAUGCAGCCUUUCCUGUGUUGACACAUUUCAAUGUACAAUGUUCAAAACCACACAUGAUAAGAUCUUCACUGAUUUCAUAAGUAUUUGUAUACCGAGAUUCUGUCAAGCUAAUGGUGGCAGGUAUACAUUUUCAAAAAUUCUAAAUUUCGCCUGAACUCUUGAAUUUGAUCACCAACUAUAAAUACUAUCAGCUGUUUUUCUGAAGUGACAGAUUCACUUCUUUAAUUUUAGAGAAAAGGCCAAACACGCAAUCCUGAAGAACCAGAGGUUGGCCCUUAGUUGUUCUGUCAGGGGAAAAUGGUAUUCUGAAGAAUAAAAUCCUUGAGGAUUUUAGCUUCUAGGCAAGAGGGAAUAACAGCAACUGGAUUUACCCAACUACCUGAUUGCAAAAAAAAUGGGUGACCUAGAGGAAACGACAGUUUUCAAGACAUUGAAACAUGAUCCCUGGGAGGAGGAAAACAGAUGAGGUACUCUAUAAUAACUCCAUCUUAGCACCUUAGAGCUUUUCCAGGUCAGGGGGCGUGGGGAGGGGGAACCAAGACAGAGCCAAUCUGAUCACUCGGGCUGAGGAGAUGGAACUGAGAGUUCAGGCAGAACAAGGUGGCUAGAGUUAGUAGGGCAGAGUACAGGAAAGGAGAGAAUUGCACCAAGAAACCUAGAGAUCUGUAGAGAAACCUCCCAAGAAUAUUUAACUGCUUACUGAUCCGCGUAUACAUGUAACAAAACUACCCAAGGUCAGGAAAACAAUCACUCAAAAGAAUUAGAGGUUAUCAUUCUUGUAUACGUUUUUUGGUGAGUACACAUGUAUAUUUCUGCUGGGUAAAUGACUAGGAGAAGAAUUGCGGUUUGAUAGGGGUUGCAUAUGUUCGCCUUGAGUAGAUUUGCACCAACUUACACUCCCACCAAUGGUUUCAGUUUUUCUAUAUCCUCCUUCAUGCUUGCGUUGUCUAUCAUUUUUAUUUUAGUCAUUCUUGUGGGUGUAUAAUAUUAUCUCACUCGGUUUUAAUUUGCAUUUCCCUGAUUACUAUGAAAUCGAAUUCCUUUUUAUGUGUUCAUUGGCUUUGUUCAUAUAACCAUUAUGGUAUACCUAAU
rnacentral:lncRNA from 1 species